AUUAAUAAACGCAUAAGUGUAUAAUGUGAGGAUGAAUGAUAUA
rnacentral:guide_RNA from 1 species